rnacentral:lncRNA from 1 species
CCGAGCACAUGGGCCUGCGGGCCGGGCGGGCUCGGGGCGGCCGGGACGAGGAGGGGCGACGAGGAGCUGCGAGCAAAGAUGUGCCCCGGAACCCCCGGCACCUUCCAGUGGAUUUCCUUGCGGAAAGGAUGUUGGCGGUCCCUCUGACCUGUGGAGACACGGCCAGAUCUGCCCUCCAGAUUUAUUAGGAGAAAAACCUUCCCGGAAGCUGCAGAAGGACAAAUACAGAAUCUGUGUGUGGGAGAAACCUCGUGGCCUGGUCUCCAUUAUUUGAGAUGAGUUACAUCUUGGAGGACCAUAGCUGUCUGCAGUGCAGGAAGCCAACUGUUAAGGGGAAACAAAAGUGUUCUUAGGAGUCCUGCUGUCAUUGUGGAUUGAGAUGGUGAAGCCCAGAGGGAUUUCAUCGUAGAGGUGGAUGGAGAAGCAGCUGGGGUCCUUGGCUGUAAGGACCCCUAAGG